AUUUUUUGUGACGUUUUGACUACUUUAAAAUUUAGAUUUUCCUAAAAUAAUAAUUAAGUUUAUGGCUAUUUCUGUAAAGAUCAUUCUGUAAAUAAAAACUGCAGUGAUUUUUAAAACUAAUAGGUAUUCUUUUAGUAAUCACAAGAUAAAGUGCUAACUCUGUACUUUUAGAUAUGAUUCUAAUAGUUGAACAUCUGUCAGAUAUUUACCUUUUAAAUCAUAAUCUAAUUGCUCAAGCUUCUGAAAAGCUAUUUAUAAAAAUUCAACGCUUAAAAAUUAAUGUAAGAUGAAAGGUAAUUCCUGUUAUAUUUAAAAGGUACGUUGAUGAUUGGUUCGAGUCUUUAAAGUUUAAAUUAGUUAAAAGAGAGUUCAAAUUGCUUAGUUUUUAUCUUAUGCUCUAAAUCUAAAAGCUAUUGAAAUAUUUAUAGCAUUAUUAUUUUUUUAUUUUAUUAUGUUAUGAAAGACCUACCAAGCUUGAAAUUUUAACGGGUUGAAAUAUAUAGUAUGUAUAAGUAUAUCAUCCCUAGGAAUUAGGAAAACUAAAGUCUGCAAAAAAAGCUAAAAAACUAGACGACUAAACUUAUUUAAAACGCUUUUAACAAGUUUAGUUACAAGUUAAUGUUAUGUGUUGAUGUACCUUCAACCAAAUUAGUGUUAAUAUUUUAGCAAAAUGUCAUAUCGCCAGUCUGUUGGAAGAACCAAAAGCUUGAUAUUUUAUUGAAUUUUUAUUUUAGUUUGUGAUAUUAUAAUUUUUAUUCACAAAACGUUAAAUAAUUUACUUUUUAAAUUUAUUUGUCAUUGCUUUGGAUAAGAUGUUUUGUUAUUCCUUUUACAGAUUGUUAUGAGGAUUGCAAAACUUUUAAAUAUCAGAAACUGAAGAAAGCAUUGAUAAUCAGCAGAUAUCAAAAAAGCGCAAAAGUACUGAUUAUACAACUCUUUUAAAGUUGAGGAAGAAUUUUAUGUUAAUGUUAAUGCAAAAGGUACGAAUAUUGGCAGGAAGGGCACUGCAGUUGUCCAGAGUUUACCGAGUUUUAAAGAAAAGUUCACUGUCAAUUGUUACCAUAAUUACUCAAUAAAAGAGAUUGUAUGACUUCGGUAUCCGCAAUACGGUAUCGUGCAUUGAUUUCCAUCUUAGAAUGGCUCCCUUCCGUAUAGGUGGAAAUAGGAAAGGUUAUGCCCUUUUUUCUAAUUCUUAAGACGAAGAGGCUUAAUCGGUUCAAACAAAGAUGACGAUGAUCAUUAUGGAGCCGAUCAUGAUGACGAAUACGAUAAUGCAUAUAUUAAUAAAUAAAAUGAUUUUACUUGUAUCUUAGACUUAAAAAAUUAUUUGUUUAA